UGUGAACUCGAAGAGUAGGGCGGGACACGUGGUAUCCUGUCUGAAUAUGGGGGGACCAUCCUCCAAGGCUAAAUACUCCUGACUGACCGAUAGUGAACCAGUACCGUGAGGGAAAGGCGAAAAGAACCCCGGCGAGGGGAGUGAAAAAGAACCUGAAACCGUGUACGUACAAGCAGUGGGAGCACCUUCGGGUGUGACUGCGUACCUUUUGUAUAAUGGGUCAGCGACUUAUAUUCUGUAGCAAGGUUAACCGUAUAGGGGAGCCGCAGGGAAACCGAGUCUUAACUGGGCGUUAAGUUGCAGGGUAUAGACCCGAAACCCGGUGAUCUAGCCAUGGGCAGGUUGAAGGUUGGGUAACACUAACUGGAGGACCGAACCGACUAAUGUUGAAAAAUUAGCGGAUGACUUGUGGCUGGGGGUGAAAGGCCAAUCAAACCGGGAGAUAGCUGGUUCUCCCCGAAAGCUAUUUAGGUAGCGCCUCGUGAAUUCAUCUUCGGGGGUAGAGCACUGUUUCGGCUAGGGGGUCAUCCCGACUUACCAACCCGAUGCAAACUACGAAUACCGAAGAAUGUUAUCACGGGAGACACACGGCGGGUGCUAACGUCCGUCGUGAAGAGGGAAACAACCCAGACCGCCAGCUAAGGUCCCAAAGUCAUGGUUAAGUGGGAAACGAUGUGGGAAGGCACAGACAGCCAGGAUGUUGGCUUAGAAGCAGCCAUCAUUUAAAGAAAGCGUAAUAGCUCACUGGUCGAGUCGGCCUGCGCGGAAGAUGUAACGGGGCUAAACCAUGCACCGAAGCUGCGGCAGCGACACUAUGUGUUGUUGGGUAGGGGAGCGUUCUGUAAGCCUGCGAAGGUGUGCUGUGAGGCAUGCUGGAGGUAUCAGAAGUGCGAAUGCUGACAUAAGUAACGAUAAAGCGGGUGAAAAGCCCGCUCGCCGGAAGACCAAGGGUUCCUGUCCAACGUUAAUCGGGGCAGGGUGAGUCGACCCCUAAGGCGAGGCCGAAAGGCGUAGUCGAUGGGAAACAGGUUAAUAUUCCUGUACUUGGUGUUACUGCGAAGGGGGGACGGAGAAGGCUAUGUUAGCCGGGCGACGGUUGUCCCGGUUUAAGCAUGUAGGCUGAUUGUCCAGGCAAAUCCGGAUAAUCAAGGCUGAGGUGUGAUGACGAGGCACUACGGUGCUGAAGUAACAAAUGCCCUGCUUCCAGGAAAAGCCUCUAAGCAUCAGGUAACAUCAAAUCGUACCCCAAACCGACACAGGUGGUCAGGUAGAGAAUACCAAGGCGCUUGAGAGAACUCGGGUGAAGGAACUAGGCAAAAUGGUGCCGUAACUUCGGGAGAAGGCACGCUGGUGUGUAGGUGAAGUCCCUGCGGAUGGAGCUGAGACCAGUCGAAGAUACCAGCUGGCUGCAACUGUUUAUUAAAAACACAGCACUGUGCAAACACGAAAGUGGACGUAUACGGUGUGACGCCUGCCCGGUGCCGGAAGGUUAAUUGAUGGGGUUAUCCGUAAGGAGAAGCUCUUGAUCGAAGCCCCGGUAAACGGCGGCCGUAACUAUAACGGUCCUAAGGUAGCGAAAUUCCUUGUCGGGUAAGUUCCGACCUGCACGAAUGGCGUAAUGAUGGCCAGGCUGUCUCCACCCGAGACUCAGUGAAAUUGAACUCGCUGUGAAGAUGCAGUGUACCCGCGGCAAGACGGAAAGACCCCGUGAACCUUUACUAUAGCUUGACACUGAACAUUGAGCCUUGAUGUGUAGGAUAGGUGGGAGGCUUUGAAGCGUGGACGCCAGUCUGCGUGGAGCCAACCUUGAAAUACCACCCUUUAAUGUUUGAUGUUCUAACGUUGGCCCCUUACCGGGGUUGCGGACAGUGUCUGGUGGGUAGUUUGACUGGGGCGGUCUCCUCCCAAAGCGUAACGGAGGAGCACGAAGGUUAGCUAAUCCUGGUCGGACAUCAGGAGGUUAGUGCAAUGGCAUAAGCUAGCUUGACUGCGAGCGUGACGGCGCGAGCAGGUGCGAAAGCAGGUCAUAGUGAUCCGGUGGUUCUGAAUGGAAGGGCCAUCGCUCAACGGAUAAAAGGUACUCCGGGGAUAACAGGCUGAUACCGCCCAAGAGUUCAUAUCGACGGCGGUGUUUGGCACCUCGAUGUCGGCUCAUCACAUCCUGGGGCUGAAGUAGGUCCCAAGGGUAUGGCUGUUCGCCAUUUAAAGUGGUACGCGAGCUGGGUUUAGAACGUCGUGAGACAGUUCGGUCCCUAUCUGCCGUGGGCGCUGGAGAAUUGAGGGGGGCUGCUCCUAGUACGAGAGGACCGGAGUGGACGCAUCACUGGUGUUCGGGUUGUCAUGCCAAUGGCACUGCCCGGUAGCUAAAUGCGGAAGAGAUAAGUGCUGAAAGCAUCUAAGCACGAAACUUGCCCCGAGAUGAGUUCUCCCUGAGACUUUAAGUCUCCUGAAGGAACGUUAAAGACGAUGACGUUGAUAGGCCGGGUGUGUAAGCGCAGCGAUGCGUUGAGCUAACCGGUACUAAUGAACCGUGAGGCUUAACCUU
rnacentral:rRNA from 1 species